rnacentral:lncRNA from 1 species
UCAAGUUUAAAUAAACAAAUAUUUAACAACAUAAUUGCUAGUCAUCCAAAAUUACUUAAUUUUUUCUCAUAAUUAAAUAAAAGAAGUUGAAUGAUCAUCCGAAAGAAGUUGAAGAAAGAUUUCAAAAUAAUAUUUCAAUAACCAAUCUUAUUAAUAUAAUUAUUAUAUAUGAGAUGAAUGAUUCUCAUGUUGAAAAUGAUUGGUGUGAAGGAAAUACAAUAUAAUCAAUAUUUUAGGGCUUUCGAUUACUAGAUGGAGGGAUGCAACAUGGAGCCUUCUUACACCUUUGUGGGUCACAUGGCACUUCUGGUUCACAGCAAGGUUGUAAGCCUUGUAUGUUGAUAGCGAGAGCACUUGUAAUCGCAACAAAAAGGACCAAAAACUUGAAGAACAUUUUUAUUAAUGAUUCCAUUAUAAAUAAAUUUUGAUUUCAAAGAAAUGAAAAAUGGAGACUAAUUGUGAGUGGUAUGUUAAACAAAGGUCUAAAUAUUUAUAGGUAAAUAAAU